rnacentral:rRNA from 1 species
UACACGCUGUGACUAGCAUAUCAAUAAGCGGAGGAAAAGAAACUAACAAGGAUUCCCUCAGUAACGGCGAGUGAAGCGGGAAGAGCUCAAAUUUGAAAUCCUGAAAGGUCACCUUUCACGAAUUGUAGUUUAAAGAAGUGUUUUCUGUUACGAUCGUAAUAUAAGUUCUUUGGAAUAGGACAUCACAGAGGGUGAGAAUCCCGUCUAUGAUUGCGAUUUGUAGCUUUGUGAUACACUUUCAAAGAGUCGGGUUGUUUGGGAAUGCAGCCCAAAACGGGAGGUAAAUUUCUUCUAAGGCUAAAUAUUGGCGAGAGACCGAUAGCGAACAAGUACCGUGAGGGAAAGAUGAAAAGAACUUUGAAAAGAGAGUUAAAUAGUACGUGAAAUUGUCAAAAGGGAAGCGUUUAACACCAGUGUUGUUUUCUGAAAAUCAACCUCUGUUAGCUUUAUGCAUGUUUGUUUAGACCUAAUCAGCUAUCUUUCAUGUUCUAUUGUUUGCAGUGGUGCACUUUUCAGUUUACAGGUCAACAUCAGUUUUUUUUACCGUAAAAAAGUUAAAGAAAGGUAGCUCAUGGCUCCGGUCGUGAGUGUUAUAGUCUUUUUCCUAUGCGGUAGGAGAGACUGAGGUCUGCAGUGUAGGCUAUUUGGCUAGAUACUCAGGUGCUAUGUGAUACCAUUUCAUAAACAACUUGUUGAUUAUGUUUUGUCUAUUGCAUACUCGCUUGUACUAUCAUACCUACGCUUAGGAUGUUGAGUAGCGACAUACGCAC